CAAAAAACAGGUUAGGGCUUGGGAUCUGUGAGUGCUGGCUGCCUGCCAGGUCUUCCCCAAUGCAGGUGUGUGCUCUAUGAGGCAAGUUUCCCAGAAAGGCCACAAGGUCAUCUAGCCCAGGGGGUGGAAUGUGACUGCAGUCCUGGCUAUAGAG
rnacentral:snoRNA from 1 species